GGGCAUUUGGGCAGAUAAUGCACGGAGCGGCCUUCUAAGCCGUAGGUCGGGCGUUCGAAUCGCUCCAGGCCCG
rfam:Meiothermus silvanus DSM 9946, complete genome.